AUUGAAAGCUGGCGGCAUGCCUUACACAUGCAAGUCGAACGGUAAAGCGGGGCAACCUGGCGACGAGUGGCGAACGGGUGAGUAAUGCAUCGGAACGUGCCCAGUAGGGGGGGAUAGCUGCUCGAAAGAACAGCUAAUACCGCAUACGACCUGAGGGUGAAAGCGGGGGAUCGCAAGACCUAGCGCUAUUGGAGCGGCCGAUGUCAGAUUAGGUAGUUGGUGGGGUAAAGGCCCACCAAGCCAACGAUCUGUAGCUGGUCUGAGAGGACGACCAGCCACACUGGGACUGUGACACGGCCCAGACUCCUACGGGAGGCAGCAGUGGGGAAUUUUGGACAAUGGACGCAAGUCUGAUCCAGCCAUGCCGCGUGCGGGAAGAAGGCCUUCGGGUUGUAAACCGCUUUUGUCAGGGAAGAAACGCUCUGGGUUAAUACCUCGGGGUAAUGACGGUACCUGAAGAAUAAGCACCGGCUAACUACGUGCCAGCAGCCGCAGUAACAC
rnacentral:rRNA from 1 species